rfam:Tenacibaculum dicentrarchi strain AY7486TD, complete genome.
GCCUAGCCCCGAUUGCAGCAAUUGUUUGAGCUCUUUUUUAUUUUUCUUUUCGAAAAAAUAAAAAAAGCGAGUGCGGAAAGCGGGAAAUAGC